AUACGGAGGAUGCAAGCGUUAUCCGGAUUUAUUGGGUUUAAAGGGUGCGUAGGCGGAGGAGUAAGUCAGGGGUGAAAUGCCGCAGCUCAACUGCGGAACUGCCUUUGAUACUGCUUUUCUGGAGUCCGGAUGCCGUGGGAGGAAUGGGCAGUGUAGCGGUGAAAUGCAUAGAUAUUGCCCAGAACACCGAUUGCGAAGGCAUCUCACGAAUCCGGGACUGACGCUGAGGCACGAAAGCGUGGGGAUCAAACAGGAUUAGAUACCCUGGUAGUCCACGCAGUAAACGAUGAUAACUAACCGUCGGCGAUAGACAGUCGGUGGCCAAGCGAAAGCGAUAAGUUAUCCACCUGGGGAGUACGUUCGCAAGAAUGAAACUCAAAUGAAUUGACGGGG
rnacentral:rRNA from 1 species